rnacentral:rRNA from 1 species
AGAGUUUGAUCCUGGCUCAGAACGAACGCUGGCGGCAUGCCUAAUACAUGCAAGUCGAACGAGAUCUUCGGAUCUAGUGGCGCACGGGUGCGUAACGCGUGGGAAUCUGCCCUUGGGUUCGGAAUAACUUCUGGAAACGGAAGCUAAUACCGGAUGAUGACGUAAGUCCAAAGAUUUAUCGCCCAAGGAUGAGCCCGCGUAGGAUUAGCUAGUUGGUGGGGUAAAGGCCCACCAAGGCGACGAUCCUUAGCUGGUCUGAGAGGAUGAUCAGCCACACUGGGACUGAGACACGGCCCAGACUCCUACGGGAGGCAGCAGUAGGGAAUAUUGGACAAUGGGGGCAACCCUGAUCCAGCAAUGCCGCGUGAGUGAUGAAGGCCUUAGGGUUGUAAAGCUCUUUUACCCGGGAUGAUAAUGACAGUACCGGGAGAAUAAGCUCCGGCUAACUCCGUGCCAGCAGCCGCGGUAAUACGUAGGAGGCGAGCGUUAUCCGGAUUUAUUGGGCGUAAAGAGGGUGCAGGCGGCUUAUUAAGUCGGAUGUAAAAUUUCCUGGCUUAACUGGGAAGGGUCAUUCGAUACUGAUAGGCUAGAGGGCAGUAGAGGGAAGUGGAAUUCCCGGUGUAGUGGUGAAAUGCGUAGAUAUCGGGAGGAACACCAGUGGCGAAGGCGGCUUCCUGGGCUGCUACUGACGCUGAGGCCCGAAAGCAUGGGGAGCGAACAGGAUUAGAUACCCUGGUAGUCC